rnacentral:rRNA from 1 species
UGGGAACGCGAAGAACCUUACCUAGACUUGACAUCUCCUGAAUUACCCUUAAUCGGGGAAGCCCUUCGGAGCAGGAAGACAGGUGGUGCAUGGUUGUCGUCAGCUCGUGUCGUGAGAUGUUGGGUUAAUCCCGCAACGAGCGUAACCCUUAUUGUUAGUUGCUACCAUUUAGUUGAGCACUCUAGCGAGACUGCCCGGGUUAACCGGGAGGAAGGUGGGGAUGACGUCAAAUCAUCAUGCCCCUUAUGUCUAGGGCUACACACGUGCUACAAUGGCUGGUACAGAGAGAUGCUAAACCGUGAGGUGGAGCCAAACUUUAAAACCAGUCUCAGUUCGGAUUGUAGGCUGAAACUCGCCUACAUGAAGCUGGAGUUGCUAGUAAUCGCGAAUCAGAAUGUCGCGGUGAAUACGUUCCCGGGUCUUGUACACACCG